rnacentral:rRNA from 1 species
GCGUGGAGACAGGUGGUGCAUGGCUGUCGUCAGCUCGUGUCGUGAGAUGUUGGGUCAAGUCCCGCAACGAGCGCAACCCUUGCCCCUUGUUGCCAUCAGGUCAUGCUGGGCACUCUAGGGGAACUGCCCCGGUCAACGGGGAGGAAGGCGGGGAUAACGUCAAGUCAUCAUGCCCCUUACGCCCUGGGCUACACACGUGCUACAAUGGCCGGUACAAAGGGAUGCAAGACCGCGAGGUGGAGCUAAACCCAAAAAGCCGGUCUAAGUUCAGAUUGGAGUCUGCAACUCGACUCCAUGAAGGAGGAAUCGCUAGUAAUCGCGUAUCAGCACGACGCGGUGAAUACGUUCCCGGGCCUUGUACACACCGCCCGUCGCACCACGAAAGUCAGCUGUACUCGAAGUCGCUGAG